UAGGUGUAGGCGCAGCGAAAGCGAGUCUGAACAGGGCGUUCAGUUCGUCGCAUUAGACCCGAAACCGAGUGAUCUAGCCAUGAGCAGGUUGAAGGUAAGGUAACACUUACUGGAGGACCGAACCCAUAACUGUUGCAAUAGUUCGGGAUGACUUGUGGCUAGGGGUGAAAGGCCAAUCAAACUCGGAAAUAGCUGGUUCUCCGCGAAAUCUAUUUAGGUAGAGCGUCGACCGAAUACCCCAGGGGGUAGAGCACUGGAUGGGCUAGGGGUCCUCACCGGAUUACCAAACCUAACCAAACUCCGAAUACCUGGGAGUACUAGUCGGCAGACACACGGCGGGUGCUAACGUCCGUCGUGAAAAGGGAAACAACCCUGACCUACAGCUAAGGUCCCCAAGUUAUGGCUAAGUGGGAAAGGAUGUGAGGAUCCCAAAACAACCAGGAUGUUGGCUUAGAAGCAGCCAUCAUUUAAAGAAAGCGUAACAGCUCACUGGUCUAAAUAAGGGUCUUUGCGCCGAAAAUGUAACGGGGCUAAAGCCAUACACCGAAGCUUAGGGUUCGUGAGCAAUCACGAGCGGUAGCGGAGCGUUCUGUAAGCUGAUGAAGCC
rnacentral:rRNA from 1 species